rnacentral:rRNA from 1 species
AGAGUUCUUUCCUGGCUCAGGAUGAACGCUGGCGGCGUGCCUAAUACAUGCAAGUCGAACGCACCGCUUCGGUGGUGAGUGGCGAACGGGUGAGUAAUACAUAAGUAACCUGGCCUUUCGAGGGGGAUAACUAUUGGAAACGAUAGCUAAGACCGCAUAGGCAUAAUUCUCGCAUGAGAGUUAUGUUAAAUAUCCCAAGGGAUAGCGAGAGGAUGGACUUAUGGCGCAUUAGCUAGUUGGUGAGGGUAACGGCCCACCAAGGCGACGAUGCGUAGCCGACCUGAGAGGGUGGACGGCCACACUGGGACUGAGACACGGCCCAGACUCCUACGGGAGGCAGCAGUAGGGAAUUUUCGGCAAUGGGCGAAAGCCUGACCGAGCAACGCCGCGUGAGGGAGGAAGUAUUUCGGUAUGUAAACCUCUGUUAUAAAGGAAGAACGGCGCAUGUAGGGAAUGACAUGCGAGUGACGGUACUUUAUGAGAAAGCCACGGCUAACUACGUGCCAGCAGCCGCGGUAAUACGUAGGUGGCGAGCGUUAUCCGGAAUCAUUGGGCGUAAAGAGGGAGCAGGCGGCAACUAGGGUCUGCGGUAAAAGACCGAAGCUAAACUUCGGUAAGCCGUGGAAACCGAGGAGCUAGAGUGCAGUAGAGGAUCGUGGAAUUCCAUGUGUAGCGGUGAAAUGCGUAGAUAUAUGGAGGAACACCAGUGGCGAAGGCGACGAUCUGGGCUGCAACUGACGCUCAGUCCCGAAAGCGUGGGGAGCAAAUAGGAUUAGAUACCCUAGUAGUCCACGCCGUAAACGAUGA